AUGGUGAUUAUUAAAGAGAGUUCCCCUACAUACAAAUACCAUGUCUUUUUGAGUUUUAGAGGUGAUGAUAUACGCAACAAUUUCACAGGUCACUUGUACAGCGCUUUGCGUGAGAAGGGAAUCUUCACCUUCAUGGAUGAUCAGCUCAUACGAGGAGAAGAAAUAUCACCAGCGUUAAUCCAAGCAAUCGAACAGUCGAAGAUUUCAAUCAUUGUGUUCUCUGAAAACUAUGCCUCCUCCAAGUGGUGUUUGGAUGAACUUGUCAAGAUCCUCGACUGCAAGAAAAGAUAUCAACAAAUCGUUCUGCCAGUUUUCUUCAAAGUCAAUCCCUCGGAUAUGCGAAAUCACAGAGGUAGCUUUGGGGAGGGACUUGCCAAUCUGGAACGCAAAUUCAAAGAUAAGGACCAGGUCCAGGAAUGGAAGACUGCUCUCUUCCAAGCAGCUAGUUUGUCAGGGUGGCCUCUCGAUGAGCAUCGCUCUGAAUCCAGUAUUAUUGGGGAAAUCAUUGAACAUAUAUCAAAGGAACACGUCAACAAUACAGAUUUGGAUGUGGCCGAGUACCAAGUAGGAAUACAACAUCGUGUGCAAGCGAUACAAAAGCUUUUAGGUGUCGAUGGAAGAGAUGUUCAUAUGGUAGGGAUAUGGGGGCUGGUGGAAUUGGUAAGACAACAAUUGCCAAAGCUGUCUAUAACUCAAUUGCUCAAAAAUUUGAUGCAGAACUCACAGAACGUGCAGUGCGAUACGCUCAAGGCCUUCCAUUAGUUUUGACUGUUUUAGGUUCUUCUCUACGCGGUGGAAAUGUAGAGCUUUGGGAAGCUGCAUUAGAUGGUUCCGAAAGCCGUGAAAUUAAAGAUGUUCUGAAGAUAAGUUUUGAUGGAUUGGAUCACAGAGUGAAGGAAGCUUUUCUUGACAUUGCAUGUUUCUUUAAAGGUGAAGAUAGAGAACACGUGAUAAAGAUUAUUAAUGCAUGUGGCAGCGAAGAAUAUUUUAUUAAUGUGCUCAUAGAAAAGGCCCUCAUUAGCAUUGAUAAGUUUGAUUGCAUUUGGAUGCAUGACUUGAUUGAAGAAAUGGGUAGAGAUAUAGUUCACGAACAGUCACCCGAUGACCCUGGAAAUCGUAGCAGGUUGUGGUUUCAUGAAGAUGUUUACCGUGUUCUAGUAGAUAAUAUUGGCACAAACAACGUUAGAGGCAUCAAGGUGGAGCUACCCGAGGAUUCAGAUGUGAUAUGUUUAUGUGCUACUUCUUUCUCCAGCAUGAAAAAUCUUAAACUUAUCAUAUACCGAGCGGGACGCUAUUCUGGAGUUGUUGAUGGUCUGCCAAAUAGCUUAAGGGUAAUUGAUUGGCCUGACUGUCCCCUACAAGUUUUGCCAUCCCAUACCAUUCCAAGAGAGCUUUCUGUAAUCCAUAUGCCUCGGAGUGGCAUCAAAGUAUUGGGAGAUGGAUACAAAGGUAUGUUCUUUUGGAUGCACAUGUUUAUCUCUGGCUUCUCAUCUGUUCCUUCCUCUCCAUUAUUUGUUUAUCUAUCUUUCAUAUCUGUUUCGCAGCGUUUGAUAAAUCUGACAUCAAUAAAUCUUGGUGGUUGUCAAUACUUAACAAAAGUGUCAGACUUAUCAGGAAUCCCAAACUUACAGAGUUUGGAUCUAUUUGGCUGCAAAAAUUUAGUUGAAGUGCAUCCUUCUGUUGGAUUCCUUGAUAGACUUCGUUAUUUGAGUCUUGGGAACUGCCAUAGGCUUGAGACUGUUCCAAUGGAAGUUAGUUGGAAAUCCAUGAGGUAUCUUAUGCUUUUCGAUUGUGGAAGGCUUGAGAAUUUCAUAAACAUUGUGCACGAGAUUGAGUCCAUUAAAACGUUGAACUUAAGUUACAGUGGCAUAAAAGAACUGCACUCCUGGAUUGGAUGUUGCACUUCCUUGGAAGUUUUGAAGUUGGAUCGUACUCCAAUCAAACAACUGCCUUCAACAAUUGGAAAUCUUACUUCUUUGACAGAACUGGGGCUGUCUGGAACUCUCCUUAAAGAAUUUCCUUAUUCGAUUGGAUGUCUCACUUCCUUGGUGACUUUGAAUGCGAUUGGAAGUCUCAUCGAAGUACUGCCUUCAUCAAUUGGGGAUCUCACUUCGUUAAGAUUAUUGAACCUGUCGGAAACUCCCAUUAAAGGAUUGCCAUUAUCAAUUGGGGAUCUCACUUCGUUAAGAGAAUUGUACCUGUCUGAAACUCUCAUCAAUGAACUGCCUUCAUCAAUUUGUGAUCUCACUUCUUUAAGAGAAUUGGACAUGUCUAAAACUCCUCUUAAAGAAUUGCCUUCAUCAAUUGGGAAUCUCACUUCCUUGCAGAGAUUGGAGCUGUCUGAAACUCUCAUUGAAAAAUUGCCUCCGUCAAUUGGUUCUCUCACUUCCUUGUUGCUAUUGGACGCUUCUGAAACUCUCAUUGAAGGAUUGCCUUUGUCAAUUGGAAAUCUCAUUGGCCUUGAAAGUUUAAGACUAAAAGGAUGUGCAAACCUUACAAAUGUGCCACACGGUGUUUACGGAGGGCUGCAAGGUCUCCUUGAAUUAGACCUCUCUUGGUGCCCAAAACUGGUUACAUUUCCAAGUAGGGCGAGCGGUUUGGUUUCCUCAAGUUCAGAAUCUCUUCUUCUGAUGCUUCCAACUGAUUCAAACAAUGGGAAUGAUCAUCCUGGUUCAUUAUUGUUUCCCCAGCUACAGGAAAUAAGUUUUGAAGGAUGCAAAUUAUCAGUGGUGUCUGAUUCUCUAACGAAUCUGGAUUGCAAGUCCACAUUGGAAAGACUUAAUCUAUCAGGAUGCAGUUUCGAUAGUCUUCCGGCAUGCAUCGGCAAAUUUCUCAAUCUGGUUUCUCUUAAUUUGGGUGGUUGUAAGAGCCUUCGAGAUAUUUCAGAACUUCCUCCAAAUCUGUAUCAUCUUAAUUUGGAUGAUUGCGAAUCGUUGGAAAGAUUUUCGAAAUUGUCAGACAUACUGGAACAGAAAGACACUCCGGGACUUCUUUCAAGUAUGAAAUUGUCUAAUUGCAAUAGAUUGAUGGAAAAUCUUGGCAUAGACUUGGUGUCGAAGAUGGCAAAAGCACUACCUUAUCAGGUGGUGCAGGCCGGCCUAGAUCAACAUGUCUUGUCCUGGGAUCUUAUGCUUCCAAGUCUCCUGGAAAUUGAAGUUCCGAAGUGGUUUGAUAGGGGUGAGGUGGAUGUAAGUGUGCUUCCCGGUCAUGAAACUGGUGAUACGUGUGAAAUUUUGAUAAGAAUCCCUAGAAAUCUGAAAGCUGAGAAAAUAGGAUUGGUUGUCUGUGUUGUUUUUGAAAUUACAAAAGCAGUUUACUAUGCAGCUGAUGUGACCGUUGUGAUUGAUAAAGAAGAGUAUGAAAAUAAUGGCCACCAUUUUGAAGCAAAAGCAACAAAGUCAUCCGCUCAUGAUCAUGUAUUAGUGUGUCUGAUAUGUAUUGCUUUCAAGGAGCUAGAGUUGGUGGAUCGUGUGGUUCGAGUUAUGUGUUAUUACCAUGGGUCGCCCCUAAAAAGUUUCGGGGUCCACCUGGCUAAUAUGCAAGAGAAUGAUGGUGAUCAUGUAAGUGGUGAAUACUUGGCACAAGAAAGAUAUAGGGAUGGCAAUGCUAGCAUUUCUGAUUUUGAAAACAUAGAAGGGGCAGCUGUGGCCUCAUUAGUAUCAGAUGACAGCUUUACCGGGGAAGUACACGAUGAUCAUGAUGAAGGGGAACCAGAACGGGAACUUCAUCGUCCAACAAAAAGAUUCAGGUGGCAAUAAUGCUAUGAUCAUCCGUGAUGGGGAUGAUUAAUAGUUGGAUUCCAGGUAAUUUAUAACUCUAUGAUGGUAUGGUUAGUUAGGUAUGGUUCUAUAUUGAUCUGUCUAGCUCCAAAUCAGUCAAUAAGGGCUAUUUAUUUGUCCAUCCAAUUUUUAAUGUAACUAUCUUCCUUAGAAUGAAUUUCCUUUUUCCCCUGAUUAAGAUUUUGCCAAUCUGAGUGCGAGAUCAGAUAUUUAUUUAGUGUAUAUUAAUGUGUAGGAUUUUAAUGUGGUACAGUGAUUUCUCCUUUUGUGUG